AAGACUAUAGACCUGCGGAGUACCUGCGGAGGGAUCAUUACCGAGUUUACUCAACUCCAAACCUCUGUGAACCUUACCACUGUUGCUUCGGCGGGAUCGUCCCGGGCCCAGCCCGGGUGCCCGCCGAGGGACCCAAACUCUUGUAUUUUAUGAAUCUUCUGAGUACGAUUUUAAAUAAAUCAAAACUUUUAACAAUGGAUCUCU
rnacentral:misc_RNA from 1 species